GGCGGGAAUGAGCAAUCAUCGUACUCAUAACCUGAAGGUCAUAGGUUCAAAUCCUAUCCCCGCAACCA
rnacentral:tRNA from 1 species